rnacentral:rRNA from 1 species
UUAACUGAAGAGUUUGAUCAUGGCUCAGAUUGAACGCUGGCGGCAGGCCUAACACAUGCAAGUCGAGCGGAAACGAUGGUAGCUUGCUACCAGGCGUCGAGCGGCGGACGGGU